GAGUUUGAUCAUGGCUCAGAUUGAACGCUGGCGGCAGGCCUAACACAUGCAAGUCGAGCGGAUGAUGGGAGCUUGCUCCCGGAUUCAGCGGCGGACGGGUGAGUAAUGCCUAGGAAUCUGCCUGGUAGUGGGGGGACAACGUUUCGAAAGGAACGCUAAUACCGCAUACGUCCUACGGGAGAAAGCAGGGGACCUUCGGGCCUUGCGCUAUCAGAUGAGCCUAGGUCGGAUUAGCUAGUUGGUGGGGUAAAGGCCUACCAAGGCGACGAUCCGUAACUGGUCUGAGAGGAUGAUCAGUCACACUGGAACUGAGACACGGUCCAGACUCCUACGGGAGGCAGCAGUGGGGAAUAUUGGACAAUGGGCGAAAGCCUGAUCCAGCCAUGCCGCGUGUGUGAAGAAGGUCUUCGGAUUGUAAAGCACUUUAAGUUGGGAGGAAGGGCAGUAAGUUAAUACCUUGCUGUUUUGACGUUACCAACAGAAUAAGCACCGGCUAACUUCGUGCCAGCAGCCGC
rnacentral:rRNA from 1 species